AUUGAACGCUGGCGGCAGGCCUAACACAUGCAAGUCGAGCGAGCGGCGGACAGGUGAGUAAUGUAUGGGGACUGCCCGAUAGCGGGGGAUAAAUACUGGCAACGGUAGCUAAUACCGCAUACUCCAGGAACACCCAUAUGGGAUGAGCUCGUAGAGGAGGUAAUGGAUCACCUAGGCGACGAGCCCUACCGGGUCUGAGAGGAUGAGCAGCCACACUGGGACGGAGACACGGCCCAGACUCCUACGGAGGAAGCAGUGGGGAAUAUUGCACAAUGGGCGCAAGCCUGAUGCAGCCAUGCCGCGGGUAUGAAGAAGGCCUUAGGGUUGUAAAGUACUUUCAGUCGGGAGGCGUUACCGACAGAAGAAGCACCGGCUAACUCCGUGCCAGCCGCCGCGGUAAUUC
rnacentral:rRNA from 1 species